UAAGGAAUAUUGGACAAUGGAGGCAACUCUGAUCCAGCCAUGCCGCGUGAAGGAAUAAGGCCCUAUGGGUUGUAAACUUCUUUUAGACGGGACAAAACCCCUUUACGUGUAAAGGGUUGAUGGUACUGUCAGAAUAAGCAUCGGCUAACUUCGUGCCAGCAGCCGCGGUAAUACGAAGGAUGCAAGCGUUAUCCGGAAUUAUUGGGUUUAAAGGGUGCGUAGGCGGACUAAUAAGUCAGUGGUGAAAGCCUACAGCUUAACUGCAGAAUUGCCAUUGAUACUGUUAGUCUUGAGUACAGUUGAGGUAGGCGGAAUGUGUCAUGUAGCGGUGAAAUGCUUAGAUAUGACACAGAACACCGAUUGCGAAGGCAGCUUGCUAAGCUGUAACUGACGCUGAGGCACGAAAGCGCGGGGAGCAAACA
rnacentral:rRNA from 1 species